GAAGCUGCCUCAUGGUUGCCUUGACCUACUUCCUAAUCCUGUUUGAGAAACCUUUAUGUUUCCUGCUUAAACCUGCCUCAUAGUUGCCUGUGACCUACAUCCUAAUCCUGUUUGAAAAACCUUUAUGUUUCCUGCUCAAACAGGAUCUAUUUAUGCUACCUCGUUGUGUUUAUGGACUAUGGCCUUACUAUAUUGCUGAAGCAACUCCUUGGGUGUAUUUGGAAUGAAAUCUUCAUGCUGACCAGACAUCCAAGUUUAGGACAUCAUCAUCAGCCCUCAUAACUCUGCUCAUCUAUAGAUAGGACUGGUUUUCUUUAUUUUAUGAUGCAAUGGACUGUGCUGGACAUUUCAGUUCCUCACACACACACACACACACACACAUACGUACGCACUCAUGCUCAUGGCAAACUUGAAUAGUAUGUAUAUAUUUGUAUAUGACUUGCAAUAUUUGGGGUUUGUGUCUGACAAAAUGUGUAUAUUGUUUGAAAACAUGCUGAAUGAAACACCAUUUUUGUUUGUGCAUGAAUUUAUUUUUUUGGUAGACGUCUUUCACAUCAGACUAAUUCUGGUAUUUGCAAAGAAGGUGAUUCCCC